rnacentral:misc_RNA from 1 species
AGAAAACAGUAUUUUUACUGCUUCAUAUUUGUUCAGAUUUAUCAAUUGAUGUACAUACCCCUUUUUAUCUCUUGCCAGAUAUCAAAAUCAGUGUUGCGAUAUAUAUCAGGGUCUAACGCUUUCGCAAUUCUAUAUGGAAACGGUGUGAGGUCUUUGGUUGAAGCUACAGGUCCUUCAUCCUCACCAGUUUUUUCCAAUUUGUUAAACAGUUCCAUGGAAGAAUUUAUCAUGGGAAACAUUGCCAGAACGAUCAUGCAGCAUUUUAAACACUGCCUUUUCAACAUCUACCAUUCCAAAUACAUCUUUGUAAAGUGUUUGAUACACAAUGGCUGCAACGAAAUAUACAAAUGAGAACUAGAAAAUACAAAUC